rnacentral:rRNA from 1 species
GAUGAACGCUAGCGGCAGGCUUAACACAUGCAAGUCGAGGGGUAUUGGUUUUCGGACCAAGAGACCGGCGCACGGGUGCGUAACGCGUAUGCAAUCUACCUUUUGCAGAGGGAUAGCCCAGAGAAAUUUGGAUUAAUACCUCAUAGUAUUAUGCCUCGGCAUCGAGAUAUAAUUAAAGUCACAACGGCAAAAGAUGAGCAUGCGUCCCAUUAGCUAGUUGGUAAGGUAACGGCUUACCAAGGCAACGAUGGGUAGGGGUCCUGAGAGGGAGAUCCCCCACACUGGUACUGAGACACGGACCAGACUCCUACGGGAGGCAGCAGUGAGGAAUAUUGGACAAUGGGCGCAAGCCUGAUCCAGCCAUGCCGCGUGCAGGAUGACGGUC